GAUGAACGCUGGCGGCGUGCUUAAUACAUGCAAGUCGAGCGAAGCACUUUAACGGAAUUCUCCGGAAGGAAGGUAAAGUGACUGAGCAGCGGACGGGUGAGUAACGCGUGGGUAACCUGCCUUAUACAGGGGGAUAACAGUUAGAAAUGGCUGCUAAUACCGCAUAAGCACACAGGGCCGCAUGGCCCGGUGUGAAAAACUCCGGUGGUAUAAGAUGGACCCGCGUCUGAUUAGCUGGUUGGUGGGGUAACGGCCCACCAAGGCGACGAUCAGUAGCCGGCCUGAGAGGGUGAACGGCCACAUUGGGACUGAGACACGGCCCAA
rnacentral:rRNA from 1 species